ensembl:lncRNA
GUAAUGUUUAUAAUGUGUCAGUUUGUGCUGUUUUGCUUGUACUGUAAAUGUGUAGGUUACUAUCAUUUUCUUUCACUUUCAAAUUCUGAUUCAUUGGCCACUGUAAAUAAUAAGUGCAGUAAAUGAUAAAACUAUUUGUACUACAAACCAAUCUGUUUAUAAUUACGGUCAUUUACAUUUCACCAGAACUUAUUUUGCAAUACGGCGGUAAGCUAUUGUCUGUGAAUGUGUAGUUCAUUAGCCGCUAUAGGUAAAUAAAUAACUAUAAGAAUAAAUUGCAGUAAAUUGUAAAACUAUUUGCACUACAAACCAUUUCCCCUAAUCUUUUUUAAAUGUAUGCGUCAUCUUACAUGGCAAUGUUUUUAGGAAUUCAGUUUAUGUACUUAAUUUAUAUUUAUUAACUUUUAUUUAAUUUAAAAAAAUAAUAAUAAUAAUUGAUUUUUAGAUAUUCCAUAUUGAACAGUAGUUUGAAUGAAACUGAUUGAUACAGCAUUACAGAAGUAUAAUAGAGUCUGCAGUGUUGUAUAAAUAUGCAACACUAAUAUAUUUUUAUAUUUUUAUUACAUGUUUUUAGUCUUGAUAUGCAGUAUGUCUGAUAAUGUCUGUAUUUCUGUCUUGUCUCUCCAGAAUGAGUGGUGUCUUGGUUGUAAACUGGUCCAGCUGAAGCAGAGCUCUGGGACGUGUGGACAGACAUUGACUGUAUUGAUGGACAUCUGCUCAUGGACAGGCGGCACAAGCGGGUUUCACCUUCAGUCUGACACCUCCGGCUGCUUGACAACAUGACGCUUGAUGACAGUCACAACAACAACACGCGCCGAUCCUGCAGAAGACAGCUGUUAAUUUAACAACAUGUUUUUCAGCUAAUCUGCAAAUAAAACCGACACACGGUCUGAUAAACGCUGGAUUCGAGUGUGACGCGACUCGCCUAAUGAGUGGUGUCUUGGUUGUAAACUGGUCCAGCUGAAGCAGAGCUCUGGGACGUGUGGACAGACAUUGACUGUAAUGAUGGACAUCUGCUCAUGGACAGAAUGAGUGGUGUCUUGGUUGUAAACUGGUCCGGCUGAAGCAGAGCUCUGGGACGUGUGGACAGACAUUGACCGUAAUGAUGGACAUCUGCUCAUGGACAGCAUAACCGCUGCUGGUCACAGUGCCGGAAGUUCCAGGGGGAGACCGUAAUGAUAUCCCCCUUCUUUGGGCGCGCCUUCACACACACUCCACCAUUCACUCAUAUCGCAGAGACCUGGCUGGGAUUGAACCAGCAACCUCUGAACCGUGAGGCAGCGCUCUUACCUGUGAGCCACAGGUCUCUUGUUGAACCACUGGAAGGAACUUAUAUUUGACUGUUUACCUGUGAUUUCCCAAUAAAGAAGUUAAAGUAAGCUGGGUCUGUGAUUUUUGGAGGUGGGUUUUGAACCCAUGUCUCCAU